GCGCGCUGCUGGAGCUGCUUAUGGUUCAUGGUUUAAAUUUAAGUUUAUUUUAUAGUUUCUUAUCUAUUGUGUGCUACAGUGUUGUUCUAGUUGCGCUGGAAGAACCGGAUGCCGUUCAAGCUUGCGAUCACGAGUGACAGUUGGGUGCAACGCUGGAGCAGCUCGUUUCCUAAUGCUUGCUGCGCGUUUACUACUGGUUUUAUGCAGCUCCUGUUACGUUUUUCAGUGCUGUUGCUCUUGUUUGUAGAAUGUGUUGUUGUGAAUGAGGCACAUGUUAGCUCUCAACUUGCCAGCACUUUGUCUCUUAUGGUGAAAAGGUUUAAACUCGUUCUAAACGCUUGUUGCGUCAGUUGCCGCUUUUAGUGUUGUGCAUCGAUCGUGAAAACAAAUUUGUUUCAUCCUUCGUGGGACUUGCUGUUGCAGAUAAUGCCCGAGAAAUUUAUCUUGGAUUUAGGCGACUGGCCAAUCGCGACUUGCUUGAGACCCUGCUCGCCACAGUUCAAAAGGCACAUGAAGAUCCAUGUCUGCCACAGGACUCGUCUGAUUGGAGUUCACAGAUGUACACAGAGGCUCAUGUGUCUGAGAGUACAGAGGCACGAGAAUUUCAGCAUGAGGCGCUGACACAGCUUUCCAUACUCGGGAUUGCUCAACAGCAGCAAGGCGAGUGGCUAACAGCAUUGCCAACCCGGCGCACCAUGAAAGAGACUGACAAGGCUCCUGAAGUAGCAGUGGGUCAGUUUGACAGCUAUGACAAACUGAAGAAUUUCGCCAAACGAUAACUGGUCCAGUCAGGGAGGCUGUGUUAAGAUCUUGCUCUGCUUCCAAAGUCUAUCACCUAGUCUGACCUUCCAUGUCUUUUGCAUGUGAGAAGUAAAUUUAUUGCUAGUGUUGUCGAAAAGGAAAGUUCUGAAUACCUUUUAAGGCAGGCAAGAUCAUCAAUAAAAAAUUCUGGCAGAAAUUAAUUUAUGAUCAAUGUCGACUUUAAUGUGA